GCUCUUAUAGAAAAAGGGAUGCGAGUAGUGAGCAAGUCUUUACAAGACAUCUAAAAACAUCCUCGAAAAUCCAUACAGAUUUCAACAAAUAUUCUGUAUUUACAGUAAAUUAAGAACCCCUGAGUUUUAACAUCUUAGGUAUGAUUCUGAGGCCAAAAUUCUCUGUCCUUACCCAGAAGAUGAAAUGAGCAUUUAGAAUUCCGUUUAGUAGGACGCUCAUUCCCUAGUUUUAUGGCCAGUCGUUUUCCCUGCUUACUCCCUAAUCUUAGUCAUUUAUUUGUGUUUUGUAUAAAAAGACUUCUUGUGCACUUGUGUCCCUAAUAUUCAAAUUGGAGUUUAUUCAUAUAAUUGGUCACUAAUACUCAUUGCAUAUGUUAAGUC
rnacentral:lncRNA from 1 species